AUUCGCCCUUAGAGUUUGAUCCUGGCUCAGGAUGAACGCUGGCGGCGUGCUUAACACAUGCAAGUCGAACGGGGUGCCUUAGAAAGAGGAUUCGUCCAAUUGAUAAGGUUACCUAGUGGCGGACGGGUGAGUAACGCGUGAGUAACCUGCCCUGGAGUGGGGAAUAACAGCUGGAAACAGCUGCUAAUACCGCAUAAUGCAGUUGGGUCGCAUGGCUCUGACUGCCAAAGAUUUAUCGCUCUGGGAUGGACUCGCGUCUGAUUAGCUAGUUGGUGGGGUAACGGCCCACCAAGGCGACGAUCAGUAGCCGGACUGAGAGGUUGGCCGGCCACAUUGGGACUGAGACACGGCCCGGACUCCUACGGGAGGCAGCAUUGGGGAAUAUUGGGCAAUGGGCGCAAGCCUGACCCAGCAACGCCGCGUGAAGGAAGAAGGCUUUCGGGUUGUAAACUUCUUUUAUUCGGGACGAAGAAAGUGACGGUACCGAAUGAAUAAGCCACGGCUAACUACGUGCCACCAGCCGCGGUAAUACGUAGGUGGCAAGCGUUAUCCGGAUUUACUGGGUGUAAAGGGCGUGUAGGCGGGACUGCAAGUCAGAUGUGAAAACCACGGGCUCAACCUGUGGCCUGCAUUUGAAACUGUAGUUCUUGAGU
rnacentral:rRNA from 1 species